UACGGAGGGUGCAAGCGUUAUCCGGAAUCACUGGGUUUAAAGGGUGCGUAGGCGGCACGAUAAGUCAGGGGUGAAAGGCCGUAGCUUAACUAUGGGACUGCCUUUGAUACUGUUGUGCUUGAAUAGAGUUGAGGUUGGCGGAAUGUGGCAUGUAGCGGUGAAAUGCAUAGAUAUGCCAUAGAACACCGAUUGAGAAGUCAGCUGGCUAGACUCUUAUUGACGCUGAGGCACGAAAGCGUGGGGAGCAAACAGG
rnacentral:rRNA from 1 species